UUUUGUGCAGUAUACACUUGUUGACUGCGACUUAGAUGCAAAAUCCACAACUGCUUUGUUUACUUUUACGUUUAUAAACGUGCAGUUUACACAAGACGUUUGGAUAAGAGUCAUCUACAAUCUCCAUGUCAAAUCAGUAUUACCGAGGUACCUUACGGUGGCGUCACAACAUAAGAUAUAUAUAACACACGCAGUUCAGUUUAGGUAUGCAAUGUCAAAAUCAGUCGGCUUUUUAAUCUUUGUACAUGAGAAAAGUAAACGUGCACCCGAGAAAGCGUUGAACUUUGAGCGUCAGGACCCGGAAGCGUGUUAUUUUAUUGUCACAUGGCUUGAAGAUUUCAAUAACAACAAAAAAUGGCGACAAUCACGUUGUUCGCAGUAGGCUUGCUGCGUCAUUAAAAAUAUUCACGUAAACAUUGGAGUUCGGCGUUGAAAAUGCAAGAAUGUUAGGCAGAUGUUUGUUGGAUUAUUUGGCAGGCGUUUCCACUGUCCUAUGAUGGCAACGACGCGCUGAUGGAGUUGUUUACAAGAAGAGAUUCGCACGGAGGGCGGGGAUGAUGUGGGCGGUGCCUAAAGGACCGUUGGACAGCCAAAGACCGCGUGCCAAGCAUAAAAGGCGGGAUCAGAGUUACAACAACAAGUCGGACGUCACAGGGGUGGUCCGUAUGAAUAAUUAAAACUAAGUAGGAAGGUGUUAAAUCUCAUGAUGUCAGACAGGGAGUCGCCUGUGCUUGGUUAUUCAGUACAAAAUUGUGAUUAAGUCAAGUUAUAUAUUAAUACUAUUACUACUACAAGAUCUGCAUUACAUAAAACAAUUGUAUGCUUUAAUGUAAGCCACGAUUGUUAAUAAAAAUUAUUUAUUACUUAUUACUAAAAUUUUAAUACAUGCCAAUGAAAUUACAUUUUUGCAAAACUUUUUUUAAGUACAAUUGUACAUUUUAAUACACACAAAAGUAAAUCACAAAACUGAUAUUUUAGUAAUGCAUAAUGCAAAUCAACAUGGACAAGAGGAUGGAUGAAGCACUACCAACCUGGCUCUGCUUGAUGUGACAGGCUGCCCUGGUUCAGUUAUCACAGUGCUGAUGCUGUCCAUCUUAAAGGUACAGUACUGUGAUAACUGAAGGAUGGCUGCCAUCUUGACAUCUAGCUACAGAAAGUUUUUGUUUUUAAGUGCAUAUAAUUGUUUCUGUGUUUGUCGUUUUUUUUUUUUGUAUUUUGAAAUUGUUUGAAUAAAAUUUGUAUGCCUUUUAAUAUAUAUAAUUUUCUAUUUUGUGGUAAAUUGUUGUUAAAGUAACAAAAUAAAAUUCUUAUUUUUUAAAAUACACAUUUUUUAAUAUCUUAUUUUUAUGUACACAAUGUUAAAUAAUAUUGUUUACACAUGGUUUGUGUUACCCUCUCUGCCUCAUAUCAAUAAAUCACAUAAUCACUGAAAUUCCCUGUACUGUAAGUAAAAAUAGAUCCUAUAUAAUACAGUAUAUUUAUCUUUUUACCACCCCCUAAAUCAAAACUCUGAUGAGUCAUCUGUACUGUACAUUCUUAAAUUGGGGAGAAGGGGACUAUUUAGUGCUUUCAGUGUGAUGCGUACAAUUAAAAUGUUUAUGUUUAAUAAUAAAUACCUUAACAUGU